rnacentral:rRNA from 1 species
UACGUAGGGUGCGAGCGUUAAUCGGAAUUACUGGGCGUAAAGCGUGCGCAGGCGGUUCGUUAUGUCCGAUGUGAAAGCCCCGAGCUUAACUUGGGAAUGGCAUUGGAAACUGGCGGGCUGGAGUGCGGCAGAGGGGGGUGGAAUUCCACGUGUAGCAGUGAAAUGCGUAGAGAUGUGGAGGAACACCGAUGGCGAAGGCAGCCCCCUGGGCCGACACUGACGCUCAGGCACGAAAGCGUGGGGAGCGAUCCGG